UGUUAAGCAGGGGUGGGGGGUCUAAAAUAAAAGCUGCUUGUGGCACCUGUAAUAUAUGUAAACAUUGAUGCUUUGUGAAAGAUUGAUCACCUCAGUUCAAACUCAUUGGAUGGGUGUGUUCAGUAUUUCAGAUUUCUGGUUGGGUCUGACUUUUUUUUUUUUUCUCAGACUACGGUCAGCUGCGUGUGGGAGGUCUGAUCAUGGCUGCUGUCCUCUGUCUCAUUGGCAUCUGCAUCCUCUUCAGUAACCGUUGCAGAUGCAAAUUCAAACAAGACAACAGG